UGACCGCGCUGCUCCCCCACCGGUGGGAGACUGGCUCAGCUCCCAGGGCAGUGGGUGAGGUGCAGGUGGCGCAGCACUCGGGCCAACCCGGCACAAAUGAACCUGACGCUCCUAGGGCCGGCCCUGCGUGUACCAGCUGCGCUGUCGGCCAGGUAUUCACCUCCCCCAGCAUGCAGUGGGAAGUGAGGUUGAGGCCGCGGUGGAGGCCGGGCGCGAGAGCAGGUGCUGCCCGGCCGUGCGAGGGUGGGGGUGGUGCAGUCGGCUGCCUCGGGGACGCGGGGUACAGGGGACCCACCGCCACCACUGCUGCUCUCACAGCUGCUCCUGCUGCCGCCUCUUGCGCCUCCCCACUGCAGCCCACAUGAUAGCAGCGGCCCCUCCGGAUGGCCUGCCGCUGCCAUCAGCAAGCACUGUUCACAGUAGCCAAGAUUUGGAAGCAACCUAAGCGUCCAUUAACAUAUG
rnacentral:lncRNA from 1 species